rnacentral:lncRNA from 1 species
AAGGUGGGAAAGUAGAUGGCACCAUAGUAAGCUCAUGACUCUACUCCCCAUCUCCUAUGUGGAUGACACUGACAUCAUCAAGAAUUGGAACAGUCUGCAAUGGUGAUCCCUCUAAAAAUUGAGACUGUUCCUCGGUGCACUGCGCGACUAUCUGCCUCCACAACUCAUUCAAUGUAGGCUCGGAAGAAGUAGAAGAUUUGGCAGGUGCCUUUUGCUGUUGUUGUUGCUUCUGAUUUUUCUGUUGUGGCUGCCUGUUAUUGUAGAAGUAGGUAGCAUAAGCUUGAGGCUCAUCAUGAGAAACAGGGUGCUCCAAAGAAGGACAUGCAUCUGUAUAGUGGUCACUAGAAGGACAUAUAGCACACAGCCGUGCAACAGAUGCAGAUGGAGGUGUUGGUCUCUGGUUGGAUGUCAGCUGUGUCACAAAACUUUCAAGAGAAUCAAGUUUGCUUUCCAAUUUCCUACCAAC